GAUGAACGCUGGCGGCGUGCUUAACACAUGCAAGUCGAACGAAGCACCUUAUCACGAUUCUUUCGGGAUGACGAUCUGGUGACUGAGUGGCGGACGGGUGAGUAACGCGUGGGUAACCUACCUCACACAGGGGGAUAACAGUUAGAAAUGACUGCUAAUACCGCAUAAGCGCACAGUACCGCAUGGUACGGUGUGAAAAACUCCGGUGGUGUGAGAUGGACCCGCGUCUGAUUAGCUGGUUGGUGAGGUAACGGCUCACCAAGGCGACGAUCAGUAGCCGGCCUGAGAGGGUGAACGGCCACAUUGGAACUGAGACACGGUCCAA
rnacentral:rRNA from 1 species